GACGAACGCUGGCGGCGUGCUUAACACAUGCAAGUCGAACGAUGAACCCGGAGCUUGCUCUGGGGGAUUAGUGGCGAACGGGUGAGUAACACGUGAGUAACCUGCCCUGGACUCUGGGAUAAGCGUUGGAAACGACGUCUAAUACCGGAUGGGACCUUGGAUCGCAUGAUCUGGGGUGGAAAGUUUUUUCGGUCUGGGAUGGACUCGCGGCCUAUCAGCUUGUUGGUGAGGUAAUGGCUCACCAAGGCGUCGACGGGUAGCCGGCCUGAGAGGGUGACCGGCCACACUGGGACUGAGACACGGCCCAGACUCCUACGGGAGGCAGCAGUGGGGAAUAUUGCACAAUGGGCGAAAGCCUGAUGCAGCAACGCCGCGUGCGGGAUGACGGCCUUCGGGUUGUAAACCGCUUUUAGUAGGGAAGAAGGGCUUCGGCUUGACGGUACCUGCAGAAAAAGGACCGGCUAACUACGUG
rnacentral:rRNA from 1 species